rnacentral:lncRNA from 1 species
UGCGCAGGCGGGAGCCGGGGACGCGCAGCGCCGCCUCCGAGCCGCCCUUACCCGGAUCGCUCCGCCACCCGGCCCGAGAGUCCACCCGGCCUUGGGACGAACCGCGGGGGCCGGUGACUCACCCUCCUGCUGCACACAAAGCGCAGCUGCCACCUCCCGGAGCCAACGCCAUGCGGCCGCCCGGAUGCACUCGCCCAGCCUGGCAUCCGCGGUGCAUGGCAGCCACACGCCUCGCCAGGAGCUGGGGCUGCAUUCCAGAAACCCAGGAGCCGGGCCUUAUGGCCGUUCCCCAGGCGCUCCACCCCAGCAGAAGACCCCUGCCUUCUCACGUGUGCACCCCUGAGAAACUUGUUAUUGACACAACUUACUCUACCAGGAAGGGUAACAAAACACUCCCAGAGGAGUAAAAGAAGACAGCAUUUGAGUCACCUGAUCAGUUGGGCACCCAAUACCUCCACACACUACGAAGGUGUGGAAGACUGCGCUGUAUCCAGUAGCGACCAGUCAUAUCAGAACUCCAGCCCGAACUGCCCUGGAAGUCACUGCUAUACCCGGUCCUUGUCCAAUUCACUCUGAGUGGCAGUUGCAUUGAGUCUGAAGCAAACAUUGAAAACACUGUGAGGACUAACGGCUCCACAGCUAAGAGCACAGACUGUUCUUGCAGAAGACCAGAAUUCUGUUCACAGCUGCCGACAACUCCAGCUCCAAACGUUCUGACACCCUCUUCUGGCCUCCAAAGGCAUCCACACAUAUAUGCACCUACAUAUAUGUGCUCCCACACACAUGUGCACCUACAUAUAUGUGCUCCCCCGCACACGUGCACCCACAUACGUGGCACACACACUGCACACACACACAUCUUUUUUUUUUAAUUCUUUCAUUUGAACAUACAACAUAUUGUCAUUAAAUUGUGUGUAUGACCUUGUGUACACAUUUGUAAUUCUAGAGGCUCCAGGUGCAUCAUGGCCUCAGCUGCUCUCAAAUCUGAAACCUGGCACAUCAGCAUCAUCUUGGCCCUUAAAGAACAUAUUUGGUGUCUUCCUCUUGCUUAUCUGCUCUGGACGUCAUCUUAAAAUGGUGGUUCAUCUUCUCGGCUCUUCAGACAAGCUGUAGAUUAGAGAAGCCAAAAUA